AGUUUGAUCCUGGCUCAGGACGAACGCUGGCGGCGUGCCUAACACAUGCAAGUCACGGGGGCCCAGUAGCAAUACUGGGCAACCGGCGAACGGGUGCGUAACACGUGAGCAAUCUGCCGAUUUCUGGGGGAUAGCCGGUCCAACGACCGGGUAAUACCGCAUACGCUCAUUGGGGGGCAUUCCCCGAUGAGGAAACCUCCGGGGGAAAUCGAGGAGCUCGCGGCCUAUCAGCUAGUUGGUGAGGUAACGGCUCACCAAGGCGACGACGGGUAGCUGGUCUGAGAGGAUGGCCAGCCACAUUGGGACUGCGACACGGCCCAGACUCCUACGGGAGGCAGCAGUGGGGAAUAUUGCGCMAYSGACSAAAGUCUGACGCAGCGACGCCGCGUGUGGGAUGAAGCUUUUCGGAGUGUAAACCACUGUUGCUCGGGACGAACAUCCCUUUUCGAGGGGACUGACGGUACCGAGUGAGGAAGCACCGGCUAACUCUGUGCCAGCRGCCGCGGWAAUAC
rnacentral:rRNA from 1 species